rnacentral:rRNA from 1 species
UGGGGAAUAUUGGACAAUGGGCGAAAGCCUGAUCCAGCCAUGCCGCGUGUGUGAAGAAGGUCUUCGGAUUGUAAAGCACUUUAAGUUGGGAGGAAGGGCAGUAAGCGAAUACCUUGCUGUUUUGACGUUACCGACAGAAUAAGCACCGGCUAACUCUGUGCCAGCAGCCACGGUAAUACAGAGGGUGCAAGCGUUAAUCGGAAUUACUGGGCGUAAAGCGCGCGUAGGUGGUUCGUUAAGUUGAAUGUGAAAGCCCCGGGCUCAACCUGGGAACUGCAUCCAAAACUGGCGAGCUAGAGUAGGGCAGAGGGUGGUGGAAUUUCCUGUGUAGCGGAGAAAUGCGUAGAUAUAGGAAGGAACACCAGUGGCGAAGGCGACCACCUGGGCUCAUACUGACACUGAGGUGCGAAAGCGUGGGGAGCAAACAGG